CGCUGGAGAGCUUCAUGUGAAGUGUAAGCAUCUACGCCCACCACCCAGACAAACAGGCGCGCGCACACACACGCGCAAGCGCCAGCAGAACAAAAACAAACAAGCGUACAUCAGCACUUUUCGCCCGUACUAAGUUUUCCUUUCGCCUACGCUUCUCCUCACCUUUACCUUCUCCGUCAUUGUCUUGUAGGCUACGCCGUCUCGUCAAGGCGCGGAGAAAGGUGCACUUAGGUGUGUGCCACAACGGGUGAAGGUGGGAAGGUCAGCAAAAAACGAACGGAGGCCCACGCGAACGCGAGAUUUUCGCGUGUGGCUACUUGUUGUGUGUCUCUGCUCUCUUCGCCGUUUUCUUUUCGACGCUCUUUCUCAGCCUCUGUCUCUUUUCCGCUUCUUUGCCUGCUUGCCGCGGUAGAGGUGCGUGCGCGCCCUGUUGCGGUGCCAGCUUGACCUCCCACCCCUCUAGAUUCGUCCUCUCGCCACCGCACUGCAACGCCAUCAGCCGCGAAGAAAAUACCGAUACGCUCGCAACAACGUCCAGAAGCAUAGCCACCAUCGAGAGCAGCAGAGCCAGCGCAGAAAAGAAAAAUCAAAGCGGACCCCCUCCUCCCCCACCCCCCUAUGUAUAUACACAUGCAUGUAUGCAUAUAUAUAUAGAUGUAUAUACAUAUAUACAUAUAUAUAUAUACAUAUACAUACAUACAUCAAUACAUCUGUAUAUUUGCACCGCCCAAAAGCAGCCCCACCACACAACCACACUUUGCUUACACAGGCAAGCCUACAACGCUGAGCAGCGUGUAGGCUGCGCACGCGAAUACACGGUACACACACGCGCACACAUUCGGAUCCCCACUUAGCCUCCUCUACCACUUUUUCUAUUCAUCCAUUCACAGCUAUUCUCCCUCGCAUUACUAAAACCCUCUCGCACACGUGUAAGGGACUAAGCACGAGCUGGUGUGGUUUCUCAAGCAAGCGACGCGUCGGGACAUCGAGCCGAGUUUCCAAAGAAAGACACAAGAAGAUAACCGAACGCACGCUCGAGUGGAGAGGCGCAUUGCAAGAGCUUCUGCUCUUCUUGGAGCUCUGUCGGCUUUGGUCAAUCUUGUGGAGUGUGCACUUCUCGUUCCCAAGUGCGGAAGGCAGCUUCCCUCGGCCCACCCCCCUCCAUACCUUGUUCGACCUCCUCCUGACUUCCCUCCACUUCCGGCUCUCUCUCUCUCUCCUCUCGUGCUUCGCGCGUGUCUUUCUCUUUUUCUCCGAACACCAUCUUUGGCCUCUUACUGUUCUGAGUUGGCUGCGUGUGUUUGUGUGUCUCGCUGUGCUCCUGCUUCGCAUCUUUCGGCUCGCAACCCUCACACCCCCUCGCACCACCACCACCACUGCCCCCUCUUCUUCAUUCCUUCCACCUCCGGGUGGCGGACUCCUUUGUGCCUCUCCGCUCCAUCCUUCCUCGGUGUGUGGCGUGCGUGGUGGCGCCCGUUUUGUAUCAAAG
rnacentral:misc_RNA from 1 species